CAAUAGCGUAUAUUAAUGCUGUUGCUGUUAAAAAGCUCGUAGUUGGAUUCGGAGCAGCAGGUCGUGCAGGCCGUGUCACAGCCCUCGUGGUUCGUGGCCGGGUAAAACCUGUACAUUUGACCUCUGUUCUUUUUACGUGGAAACGAUAGCCCGCCGCAACCCGGCUUCAUUGACGGGGGAGGCACACUACGCGCAGAACACGCGCAUAAGGGCCGUCCACGGACGUUACUGUGAACAAAACAGCGUGUCCCAGGCAAUCGGUUUGAUCUGGAUGACCAAGCAUGGAAUGACAAGGGCAGACCGUUAGGCGUUGCCUCUUGUUGGUUUUCAUCCCAUAACGGGCAAACCGGGCAGUUGAGAACCCCCACGCCUCUGGCUGGGACCUAUCUUCUGCCUAUUGGGAUCAAUAGAGACUGCCGGGGUGGUAUGUAUUUCCGGGCGAGAGGUGAAAUUCUUAGACCCCGGGAAGACAAACAACGGCGAAGGCAUUCCACCAGAAUGUCUUGAUUAAUCAAGAAC
rnacentral:rRNA from 1 species